rnacentral:rRNA from 2 species
GUGCUUGCAUCAUGAUUUACAUUUGAGUGAGUGGCGAACUGGUGAGUAACACGUGGGAAACCUGCCCAGAAGCGGGGGAUAACACCUGGAAACAGAUGCUAAUACCGCAUAACAACUUGGACCGCAUGGUCCGAGUUUGAAAGAUGGCUUCGGCUAUCACUUUUGGAUGGUCCCGCGGCGUAUUAGCUAGAUGGUGAGGUAACGGCUCACCAUGGCAAUGAUACGUAGCCGACCUGAGAGGGUAAUCGGCCACAUUGGGACUGAGACACGGCCCAAACUCCUACGGGAGGCAGCAGUAGGGAAUCUUCCACAAUGGACGAAAGUCUGAUGGAGCAACGCCGCGUGAGUGAAGAAGGGUUUCGGCUCGUAAAACUCUGUUGUUAAAGAAGAACAUAUCUGAGAGUAACUGUUCAGGUAUUGACGGUAUUUAACCAGAAAGCCACGGCUAACUACGUGCCAGCAGCCGCGGUAAUACGUAGGUGGCAAGCGUUGUCCGGAUUUAUUGGGCGUAAAGCGAGCGCAGGCGGUUUUUUAAGUCUGAUGUGAAAGCCUUCGGCUCAACCGAAGAAGUGCAUCGGAAACUGGGAAACUUGAGUGCAGAAGAGGACAGUGGAACUCCAUGUGUAGCGGUGAAAUGCGUAGAUAUAUGGAAGAACACCAGUGGCGAAGGCGGCUGUCUGGUCUGUAACUGACGCUGAGGCUCGAAAGUAUGGGUAGCAAACAGGAUUAGAUACCCUGGUAGUCCAUACCGUAAACGAUGAAUGCUAAGUGUUGGAGGGUUUCCGCCCUUCAGUGCUGCAGCUAACGCAUUAAGCAUUCCGCCUGGGGAGUACGGCCGCAAGGCUGAAACUCAAAGGAAUUGACGGGGGCCCGCACAAGCGGUGGAGCAUGUGGUUUAAUUCGAAGCUACGCGAAGAACCUUACCAGGUCUUGACAUACUAUGCAAAUCUAAGAGAUUAGACGUUCCCUUCGGGGACAUGGAUACAGGUGGUGCAUGGUUGUCGUCAGCUCGUGUCGUGAGAUGUUGGGUUAAGUCCCGCAACGAGCGCAACCCUUAUUAUCAGUUGCCAGCAUUAAGUUGGGCACUCUGGUGAGACUGCCGGUGACAAACCGGAGGAAGGUGGGGAUGACGUCAAAUCAUCAUGCCCCUUAUGACCUGGGCUACACACGUGCUACAAUGGAUGGUACAACGAGUUGCGAACUCGCGAGAGUAAGCUAAUCUCUUAAAGCCAUUCUCAGUUCGGAUUGUAGGCUGCAACUCGCCUACAUGAAGUCGGAAUCGCUAGUAAUCGCGGAUCAGCAUGCCGCGGUGAAUACGUUCCCGGGCCUUGUACACACCGCCCGUCACACCAUGAGAGUUUGUAACACCCAAAGUCGGUGGGGUAACCUUUUAGGAACCAGCCGCCUAAG